rnacentral:misc_RNA from 2 species
GUAACAAGGUUUCCGUAGGUGAACCUGCGGAAGGAUCAUUAUGAAUUAAAAAUAUUUGUGAAUUUACCACAACAAACAAAAAUACUAUAGUCAAAACAAAAAUAAUUAAAACUUUUAACAAUGGAUCUCUUGGUUCUCGUAUCGAUGAAGAACGCAGCGAAACGCGAUAUUUCUUGUGAAUUGCAGAAGUGAAUCAUCAGUUUUUGAACGCACAUUGCACUUUGGGGUAUCCCCCAAAGUAUACUUGUUUGAGCGUUGUUUCUCUCUUGGAAUUGCUUUGCUCUUCUAAAAUUUCGAAUCAAAUUCGUUUGAAAAACAACACUAUUCAACCUCAGAUCAAGUAGGAUUACCCGCUGAACUUAAGCAUAUCAA